AGCAGUAGCCACGGUAAUACAGAGGGUGCGAGCGUUAAUCGGAUUUACUGGGCGUAAAGCGUGCGUAGGCGGCUUUUUAAGUCGGAUGUGAAAUCCCUGAGCUUAACUUAGGAAUUGCAUUCGAUACUGGGAAGCUAGAGUAUGGGAGAGGAUGGUAGAAUUCCAUGUGUAGCGGUGAAAUGCGUAGAGAUCUGGAGGAAUACCGAUGGCGAAGGCAGCCAUCUGGCCUAAUACUGACGCUGAGGUACGAAAGCAUGGGGAGCAAACAGGAUUAGAUACCCGCGUAGUCCCUGUCUCUUAUAC
rnacentral:rRNA from 1 species